GAGCAUCGGAACGGCGAUCUCCUCCUCCCAAUGCCUUCCGAUAACGAUCGGCAACUCUCCUCCUCCCUGUUGCUGGUCAGGUUUGAAAGCCCGACGGAUCUCCUCCCCCGUCGGGCUUUUCAU
rnacentral:sRNA from 17 species